AUUGAACGCUGGCGGCAGGCCUAACACAUGCAAGUCGAGCGAGCGGCGGACGGGUUAGUAAUGUAUGGGGACUGCCCGAUAGAGGGGGAUCCCUACUGGAAACUGUUGCUACUACCGCCUACUUUCGGAUAAACCAUAUUGGAUUAUCUAGUAGGUGGGGGAAAGGCUCACCUAGGCGACGAUCUCUAGCUGGUCUGAGAGGAUGAUCAGUCAAACUGGGACGGAGACACGGCCCAGACUCCGACGGAGGCAGCAGUGGGGAAGAUGGCACAAUGGGCGCAAGCCUGAUGCAGCCAUGCCGCGUGUAUGAAGAAGGCCUUAGGGUUGUAAAGUACUUUCAGCGGGGAGGCGUUACCCGCAGAAGAAGCACCGGCUAACUCCGUGCCAGCAGCCGCGGUAAUUC
rnacentral:rRNA from 1 species